GGAAUAUUGUUUAAGAGCCGCGGUAUAUUGACCGUGCAAAGGUAGCAUAAUCAUUAGUUUUUUAAUUGAGAACUUGUAUGAAUGGUUGGACAAGGGAAAGACUGUCUUUAUUAUAGAAGUUGAAAUUGACUUUUAAGUGAAAAGGCUUAAAUAAUUCAAGGGGACGAUAAGACCCUAUAAAGCUUUAUGUGUUAAUUAAAUUUGGUUAAAUUAUAAUAAUAAAGGCUUAAUUUAGUUGUCAUAUUUUGUUGGGGCGAUAUGAAUAUAAUUGUUUAUUAACUAUUUAAAGUUUAUACAUUGAUAAGUGGGAGAUAUUAAUUGAUCCUUUUUAAAGAUUAAAAGUCUAAGUUACUUUAGGGAUAACAGCGUAAUUUCUUUUGAGAGUUCAUAUCGAAAAAGGAGUUUGCGACCUCGAUGUUGAAUUAAAAUGUCUAUAUAAUGCAGGUGUUAUAUAAGAAGGUC
rnacentral:rRNA from 1 species